rfam:Kerstersia gyiorum strain CG1 PROKKA_contig000001, whole genome shotgun sequence.
CGGCAAGAUAUGUGUUGCACCGGUACAGGCGAGGCCUGCACCGAUCCAACACCUCCCUGAUUCGCGGGCCGCUCAACAGGUUUUGCUCUGCGAGGCG